rnacentral:lncRNA from 1 species
AGCUAUCCGGUUAUAACCGAAAACCGAAUUAUUGGUGAUUUCACUAUCCGAAAUAACAAUCGAAAUUUAAAAAAAAACGAAUUACCGAAUACCGAAUUACCGAAUUGUAAUUUUGGGUAUUCGGGUAAUAACCGAACCAGCUACCUGUUAACUGUCUAGCAAAUUAACACUGUCCUGUCCAGCAGCAAAGUUACUUAACACUUAAAAGGCUAACAGUUACAGCAACAUCCAACAUAAACUCAAAGUUUAAAAAUACAGCAACAACAAGCCCAACACUUUUACAGUAUCAUGUCAUUACUCAUUACAGUAACCCAAAGUUCUUUAAAUUAUAUAACAGUUGCUAAAUUAUAAUGGCAAAGUUAUAAUUCUACAAGCAGCAUUAAUUAGCAUCAGUGAUUCAACAUCAACAAGCUCCAGUCUCCCAAUAGCACUAUUGGCAUCAUAUGAUCAGAUUUCAACACCAUAAGAUCACCUUUAACUGCAGUCUGCAAGAACACAAAUAACUUGUCAUUAAUGUUCACAUAUUUUUUAUAUGGACUACAACAAUAACAAUAAUAAAAAAACAGUUGUAUAAAUACCUAACAUAUUUUUGCACCUUACUAUCUAGAUGGAAAAACUGAAAGUGAUAGCGAAAACAAUUGUUAAAUACCAAACUUAUUUUUGCAAAAACUGAAAGUGAUAGCGAAUAAUACAUACCAUCAUGAUGCUUCAAAGCUAUGAAGCCAAGGCACAUGUGAUUUGAUGGAGGAUGUCAACUAAGUAUUCAUUCUAUUGCAAGUGCCAUACAAAUAUUCACACAACAAAAACAAAAAUAAAGCAGAAUUUUGUUAAGUGAAAAAGUGAAAAAACACAGACCUGGAUAAGAAGAAUUCCAAUUACUACUUAAAUAGCAAAACCAAAGUGAAUACAUAAUAACUGGAAUCCUCUCAAAACUCCAAAACCUCCUUAUGCAAUUGUGAAAAGACUAUAUUGUACAGAUACAACAUAAAGCACAAGCCUGUACUGUACAGAGAUGGCCAUGACCAGACCUCAAAAAUCAGGGAGGACUUAAAAAGAAUUCCUUAAAACACCCAUAGAAUUUGAGAACCUUAAUUCCUCUGAUUCAGGGAAAGCAACAUAAUCAGUUAAUCACCCCAUCUUUCAUCUCAAUAAGAAAAAUUCACAAUACCCAAUUAAGAAAAAAAUUUCCAAAUUUAUGAACGAAUCAAACGAUUACCCACCUUAGAAAUCAUAACCCUAACUCAAAAUGAUUGAAUAACCCGUAAAAGGGUUCUUGAAUCAAUAACAAGACAUCGUUUGCAUGAUCGAAUAACCCGUAAAAAUGAUCGAAUAACCCGUAAAAGGGUUCAAAUCAAAAUCAGAUGCAAGUAUGUAACAACUAACAAAACAAACAUACCAAGUCACUGAGUUAGUCGUAAGAGAGUAGAAGGGGGAAAGGCCGUCGGCCGAAGCGUGUUUACCAGACAGUGAGAGUCGAGUGACGGAGGCCGGAGAUUGCGAGUUUGAGACAGAGAGAGCCGGAGAGAAUGUGAGAUCGAGACUUCGAGUAGUCGAGUCGACAGUCGAGACUUCAGAGUUCAGACUAGACAAGACAAGAGUGAAGAGGCUGAGAUCUAGGACUAGGAGCGGGACUGAGAUCUGGGACUGAGAUCUUCGAGUAGGCUGAGAACUGAGUUUGAUAGUGUAAUGUCUGAUAGUUAGUCGGUCAUAGAUAUUAGAUAAUACAUAGAUAGUUAGAC